AACGACAAAGGGAAAGCAACCCUAGUUGCUGUCCUCAUUUCCAGCAGCCACACAAAACCCUUAGAAGAUCCGAGCUCGAGUGGAGCACGGUGACCUGCCGAUACUCGGAGAUUUUUUGCUGUAUAUAAGUUUUGCAGACACAGGGAUCCUUUUGAUAUUACUGUUGAUUUUGGACUUUCGUAGAGUUGCUCAGAGAUCUCGACGUGCUGAUUUUCUGGCAAUGCCACGAGCCCGUGGUCGCGGUUGGGGCAGUAGCCGUGCCCGUAGUCGCAGUCGUGGUCGCGACAGUGGUAGUGGUCGCGGUCGUGGUCGUGCAUGUCAGCGUGCCACUACUACUGAUCUUGGUUUGGAUGAGGCUCCUAUCUCCCCAUCUGAGUUGAUACCGGGAGCUCAGGUUGGUCCCAGUAUUGGAGUCGGUGGUCAGACUGAGGGACAACCUCAUCUUGUUGCAGCUCAGGUAGCCGUACCAGCCAUUCCUACAGCAUCGUUUAUUAUGGAAAAGGCCCGUAUUCCUUUGCUUGCUAGUUCAGCAAAGGAUCGUUUUACGCUGUUCCAUGGAGGCACCGAUCCUUGGGUGGCGCGUACAUGG